rnacentral:rRNA from 1 species
UACGGAGGGAGCUAGCGUUGUUCGGAAUUACUGGGCGUAAAGCGCGCGCAGGCGGCCAUUCAAGUCAGGGGUGAAAGCCCAGAGCUCAACUCUGGAACUGCCCUUGAAACUGUAUGGCUUGAGUAUGAGAGAGGUGAGUGGAAUUCCCAGUGUAGAGGUGAAAUUCGUAGAUAUUGGGAAGAACACCGGUGGCGAAGGCGGCUCACUGGCUCAUUACUGACGCUCAGGCGCGACAGCGUGGGGAUCAAACAGG